AGAGUUUGAUCCUGGCUCAGGAUGAACGCUGGCGGCGUGCCUAACACAUGCAAGUCGAACGGGGUUAAGACAGGCAGAGAUUCGGUCGAAGCGGUUUAACCUAGUGGCGGACGGGUGAGUAACGCGUGGGGAACCUGCCCUGUACCGGGGGGAUAACAGUGAGAAAUCACUGCUAAUACCGCAUAAGCGCACGGCACCGCAUGGUGCAGUGUGAAAAACUCCGGUGGUACAGGAUGGACCCGCGUUGGAUUAGCCAGUUGGCGGGGUAACGGCCCACCAAAGCGACGAUCCAUAGCCGGCCUGAGAGGGUGAACGGCCACAUUGGGACUGAGACACGGCCCAGACUCCUACGGGAGGCAGCAGUGGGGAAUAUUGCACAAUGGGGGAAACCCUGAUGCCAGCGACGCCGCGUGAAGGAAGAAGUAUUUCGGUAUGUAAACUUCUAUCAGCAGGGAAGAUGAUGACGGUACCUGACUAAGAAGCCCCGGCUAACUACGUGCCAGCAGCCGC
rnacentral:rRNA from 1 species